CAAUAGCGUAUAUUAAAGUUGUUGCAGUUAAAAAGCUCGUAGUUGGAUUUCGGGGCAGCCUGGCUGGUCCGCCGCAAGGCGAGUACUGGUCAGCCGCCUUUCCUCUCGAAAGCCCCGACUGCUCUUCGUUGCAGUGGUCGGGUAGUUCGGGACGUUUACUUUGAAAAAAUUAGAGUGUUCAAGGCAGGCCUACGCCUGAAUACAUUAGCAUGGAAUAAUGGAAGAGGACCUCGGUCCUAUUUUGUUGGUUUCCAGGGCCGAAGUAAUGAUUAAGAGGGACAGUUGGGGGCAUUCGUAUUUAAUUGUCAGAGGUGAAAUUCUCGGAUUUAUGAAAGACGAACAACUGCGAAAGCAUUUGCCAAGGAUGUUUUCAUUAA
rnacentral:rRNA from 1 species